GCAUUAUACAGCGAAACUGCGAAUGGCUCAUUAUAUAAGUUAUCGUUUAUUUGAUAGUACCUUACUACUUGGAUAACCGUGGUAAUUCUAGAGCUAAUACAUGCUGAAAAUCCCGACUUCGGAAGGGAUGUAUUUAUUAGAUUCAAAACCAAUGCCCUCUGGGCUCACUGGUGAUUCAUGAUAACUCUUCGAAUCGCAUGGCCUUGCGCCGGCGAUGGUUCAUUCAAAUUUCUUCCCUAUCAACUUUCGAUGUUUGGGUAGUGGCCAAACAUGGUUGCAACGGGUAACGGAGGGUUAGGGCUCGACCCCGGAGAAGGAGCCUGAGAAACGGCUACUACAUCCAAGGAAGGCAGCAGGCGCGCAAAUUACCCAAUCCCGACACGGGGAGGUAGUGACAAUAAAUACUGAUACAGGGCUCUUUUGGGUCUUGUAAUUGGAAUGAGUACAAUUUAAAUCCCUUAACGAGGAACAAUUGGAGGGCAAGUCUGGUGCCAGCAGCCGCGGUAAUUCCAGCUCCAAUAGCGUAUAUUAAAGUUGUUGUGGUUAAAAAGCUCGUAGUUGAACCUUGGGCCUGGCUGGCCGGUCCGCCUCACCGCGUGUACUGGUCCGGCCGGGCCUUUCCCUCUGUGGAACCCCAUGCCCUUCACUGGGUGUGGCGGGGAAACAGGACUUUUACUUUGAAAAAAUUAGAGUGCUCCAGGCAGGCCUAUGCUCGAAUACAUUAGCAUGGAAUAAUGAAAUAGGACGCGCGGUUCUAUUUUGUUGGUUUCUAGGACCGCCGUAAUGAUUAAUAGGGACAGUCGGGGGCAUCAGUAUUCAAUUGUCAGAGGUGAAAUUCUUGGAUUUAUUGAAGACUAACUACUGCGAAAGCAUUUGCCAAGGAUGUUUUCAUUAAUCAGGAACGAAAGUUAGGGGAUCGAAGACGAUCAGAUACCGUCGUAGUCUUAACCAUAAACUAUGCCGACUAGGGAUCGGACGAUGUUAUUUUUUGACUCGUUCGGCACCUUACGAGAAAUCAAAG
rnacentral:rRNA from 1 species